CCCCCUAGGCAGCCCCAUCUUUCCUCUGAGACCUGAGCCACCCGGGACCCCAACACCCCGGGGUGAUCGGCUGCGGCCUGGGUGAAGCCUACUCGCCUCAAGCGCACGGGUGUCCUCACAUCCUCACGACAGGAGAUGAGCGGAAGUGUGCGGCCCUCUCCGGCUCGUUCGGCUCAGCCAGCCCAGCCAAGCAAACCUCGCCCAGGGCCCUGUCUCCUGGCUGAGGCUUCUCAUGGUCACCGGACCUCUAUUCCAUCACAAAUCCUUCGGCUCUCAUCUUCCAAACUCAUCCGGAAUGGAACCUCCUCUGACACCACCAUGGCCACCGCCCUGCCCUGAGCCACCGUGGUCUCUUGCCCGGGGAGACCCAGGUAGCCUCCUGACCGGCCUUCCUCCUCCCACUUCUUCCCCCACUGCCUCUUCUCCAUAGUGGGCCCUGUAAGCCCCAUCCCAUCAUCCCUCUGCUCAAAGCCCAGGGCUCCUGCUUCACAGAGAGCAAAAGGCAAUGCCCUUAACAUAGCUUGCAAUGCCUUGCUCACACUGAACCCCACCCCAGAUCUCAGCUCAUUUCCAAGCUGCAAUCCCCGACCCUGGCUCUCUCCAUCCUCCUUCCUGGCUGGACUGUCUGGUCUUAGCACUUAACAAUACACACAUUCAGCUUGUUCAUCUUGUUGCGGGACUCCCACACCAGAAGAUGGAUUUUGUCUGUCUUGACCCCCCCAUGGUGUCUCUGGCAUGUAAGCCAGUGCCUGACACCGUUCAGUAUGUAGUGGUUGAAUAAAUGGAUGAGUGUGCCCAGGACUGACAGGUCCCCGAAAUUAUAGUUGGGGCUUCCCUUGGGGUCCUGGAGCACACCGAGGGCAUCUGACCCCAGGGCAGGUUGCCUCAGUUUCCUCACCUGUAAAUGGAACUGUAGUGGGGAACAGCUAAGCCCCUGCACAGUUGUAUGGCUCCUCAGGGCCCCGGUGAGGAGGGGCUGGGGUUCUGCAGAGGUCCACCCCUCUGGGAAGCCCAGCCACCUGCAGCCCUGGAGACCAGGGAGGGUCCUGGCUGAGGCUGGGUGAGCAGGGAUUGGUUCCUGAGGAGUUGAGGUUCAUGAUGUCAACUCCUGAGUCACUGAACACACAUCUGGCCCACAAACCCCUGCAGGAGCCGGACUCUCAAGUCAAAGAGAGAGCAGAGGAAGGGCCUGGUCAGCAGACCCAGGGGGGACUCCCACUUUGGAGGAUCUGGGUGUGUUCCUUGGGUUGUGGAUCCGGCAAGGGAGCUGGCCGAGGUUCCUGGGUCAGUAUGAGAGGCCCUGUGAGUCCAGCCGCCGAUGGGGAGGCAGACUUCCCUGGCCGUCUGUCUGUUUGUCCACCCAUAGUGGAGCAGGAGCUCAGUGAAGCCUAGUUGGACAAGCUCCCAGCUUGGUCCCCAACCCUCCCCCGUCAGGGCUCUGACUCUGGCCCCAAUUUGCCCAGCAUCAGAACAGUAUAAAGGGCACUGGGACCGGGCAUGAUGGCUCCCGCCUGUAACCCUAACACUCUGGGAGGCUGAGGUGGGAGGAUCACUUGAGCCUAGGAAUUUGAGAUCAGCCUGGGCAACAUGGCAAAACCCAGUCUCUACAAAAAAUACAAAAAUUAGCCAGGUGUGGUGGCGGGCACCUGUGGUUCCAGGUGUUUGGAAGGCUGAGGUGGGAGGAUUGCUUGAGCCUGGGAGGUCGAGGCUGCAGUGAGCUAUGAUCAU
ensembl:lncRNA novel transcript, antisense to SLC7A10